rnacentral:rRNA from 1 species
CCUACGGGUGGCAGCAGUGGGGAAUAUUGGACAAUGGGCGAAAGCCUGAUCCAGCCAUGCCGCGUGUGUGAAGAAGGCCUUCGGGUUGUAAAGCACUUUCAGUGGGGAAGAAAGCCUUGGGGCUAAUACCCUCGAGGAAGGACAUCACCCACAGAAGAAGCACCGGCUAACUCCGUGCCAGCAGCCGCGGUAAUACGGAGGGUGCGAGCGUUAAUCGGAAUUACUGGGCGUAAAGCGCGCGUAGGCGGUCUGAUAAGCCGGUUGUGAAAGCCCCGGGCUCAACCUGGGAACGGCAUCCGGAACUGUCAGGCUAGAGUGCAGGAGAGGAAGGUAGAAUUCCCGGUGUAGCGGUGAAAUGCGUAGAGAUCGGGAGGAAUACCAGUGGAGAAGGCGGCCUUCUGGACUGACACUGACGCUGAGGUGCGAAAGCGUGGGUAGCAAACAGGAUUAGAUACCCGGUAGUC